rnacentral:rRNA from 1 species
AUGUUUCGUAUUUCUAAUCCAUCCGUGGACGCGUGUGCGGUUUGCCAAAUAAAAAACCAGAGUCGAGCGACCACGCCUCCCACCCCGAUCUGGAUCCUCCGCCUCCCCGCCGCCGGUCCGCAUCAUCCGCGAUGCCAUCCCCGCGCGCCGGCCUACCUCCUCUCCGCCGCGCCCUCCUCCCCACACCACGGCCUGCCUCCUCUUCGCCGCACGCGGUUCGCCGACAGCGAGGCCCAGGCCGCAGCGCUCCAGGCCCGCGCCGGCCGGCUGCAGCGCACGCCGCCGACAACGAUCGGGCUGCUCAACACGCUCCUCGCCGCCAUGGGCCACGACUGGGAGGAGGAGGACGCGCGGGAGGCGGGGCAGCGGCAUAAUCAGCGCGUGUUGGAUCCAGCCGAGGCUGAGGAGCCCGCGAGAUCCCGUGACAGGGGUCUACUCGUCGUCCUCUUGCGCGAGACGACUGAGGGACGCGGCGGCAUGGGUUUGACUCCAGAGAACGGCGACAAUCCGGCUGCCACCGGACGGAUCCAGAUGGAGGAGGGUCAGGGAGGCGCGCGGGGGAGGCCGUCGAGGUUUGGGGGCGCCGGAUCCAGAGUUCGGGGUGGCGCCAUGGUUGCUCGGUGA